UGAUCAGUUUGACGUCCAUGAGUCACUUGUGCCGGUUUAACCUCCUGUCACUAUUUUCUGUGCAUAUUUUGGAGGGUCUUAUAAUAGAAGCCCAAAAUAACAAGCAGAGGUUUAUUAUCAUUGUCUAUCCAGUGAGAUUUCCUGAGGUUGUUCUUUUGAGGAGGGUGACAGUCUGACAGCUCAAUUUGGUGGCGACGCCCCUGAGACCCCCCAUUAAACUGUGCUGGAGGUAACAUCAUAACUCUCCCAUGCUCCCUGAACAGGCCGCAAAGAGCAGAGAGGACAAACCAGAGCCGAUGAAUCAGUCUGGUACCUUCCCCAAACGCUCACAGGAUGACCUCUAUGGGCACAAAAUAUAGAAGGAAGUCCAUCUGCUGUCCUUAUGUAACUUAUUCAUUAUUAGUACCUGUUAAAGCAAAUAUCACUAUAAUAGUUAUUAUUAUCACUUUCUAACACAGUCCACGCACUCGAGUCUGUCGUCAAGACAAAUGGAGUGAAAGAACGUUUGCUUUGACGCAUUUGAUUUAAACAGCUCGUUGGCAUCUUUAUACAGAUGUUGUAUAGAAGGAUCCCAGUGUAAGGAACAAAUGGAUAGUUUAUUUUUAUCCCUGACCGUUUGUUAAAAGAUGAAGCGGUAGUAAGUAAAUGCUUUCAUAAUGCUUUGUCUGGACAUUACCAUUUUUAAUUUUUUUGAUCAUGUUGUCAAAACACUCACAUGCAAUUGGCGAGGGGGUUCGUUGUGCAAUGGCGUUAGAAAAUCAUAACAAGUGGCUGAUUCUUGACAAGCCUUAAAGUACAUGACCCUUAAAACAAGUCAUUUUAGACAGAGGGUCAGAACGAGGGUUGAAAAUAAUAAUUUUUCCACAUAUUUAUUUAUUUAUCCAAAAAUCCAUGUCAUGACCCCUUUACAUUAAUGUGGAUGUAGUUUUUGAUAUCUGAUCACAAAUGGCUACUCCUGGUAAAACUAAAACAUUCAUUAUUCAGUUCAACCAUAAAUCAGGUUUAUUGCUGCUAAAAAUGAGCAUCAUGUAAGGGAAAUUGUUUGUAUGUAAAUUGCUGUAGCGCAUAAUAUAUUUUUGGCCUAUCAUGAACAAGAUGAACUAUUAUCAAUGCAUGAAUCAAACUCAUUCAGGAUGCUUAAGGUUUCUGACAUUUUUCCAUACAUCAUUUUUUUUUUAUGAUAACGCUAGAUGUGGAGCUGAAAUGAUGUAUGGAACAGUGAAAUCACUCACUGUAAUAUUAACGUCUCAUCUGUGAAAUUUUGUCUGCUGACAGGAGACAGACCAUGUGACUUCCUCUGACUUCACAGAGUGCAAUGCUCUGUAAGUAAAAACAAUGUUCAGAAAUUGAUUUUUAAUGAAAACUUAAAAAUGACCUACUGUGAGUUCUACGGUUGUUAAUCAAUGGUAAUUUCUUUUGUUGAAAAUUAUUUUUGAAAUAAUUUUUUAACAGAUGAAUUUGAGGAAAAAAUACUUCAUUUUCUUAGGCAUAAUAAUGUUUCUUGUUUCUUUCUUUUCAUUUUGUGGUGAAAUAUGACCCUGGCAGCGUUUCCCAUUGGCGCCAAUGGUAAUCACCCAGAACACCCUGGUGAGAUUUGCACAGGGUGCAAGCACUAUUCACAUUGUCUUUAGAAAAUGUAAUAAUACAGAAUAUGUAUUACAAAGUGAUUGGAAUUCGCUAUGGGAGAUAUUUAGUUUUUUGAAACUUCAUUAUAUUUUUUAGAGAAUACUGAUCCUGUUUUCUACAUACUAAUGGGCUUCUAAACUUUGCUACUGCUGGCUGAUGAUUAAGUAAACUUACAGUUGGUUUUAGUUCUCUUUUGUCAUCAAUCAGGCUAGCAUGCGUUAUUAAACCUCUCAUGCCCACUUACCCAGACAUUUAAACUCUGUGCGCUGGGGUCUGCAGCCGAGUACACCUGAUGGAUUAGGACAGAAGCAUAGAGUGAUGGAGAGGAUGAGGGAGCCAGGGUUAUAUUUGGCCUGUCUAAACGAGAGGAGAUGUGGAUUGCCUUCUGCGCAGAUUUGUCGUUCCGAUGUGGGGUGGUGGCAUCUCUCCAGGUUUCCGUUAUGUGCCACUGACUGCGGUAAUGAGAGUCGUUUAUAUUGUCAUUUGUUUACAAGGCUUGCAGUGACCAUGUCUGCCACUGCCAGACAGGGAGCAGAAGGAGACGCUAAUAUGAGGAUGUGGAUAUGUUGAGUCUGUGGUGGUGUCAUUAAAAAUGGAUCAACAGAAUAACAAUAAACAAGGACAGUAAGUUCAACAGAUUAAUGAUUUGUCAAUUAGCAGAUGCUUUUAUCCAAUGUGACUCACAGUGCAUUUAACUAUUACAGGAAGAAACCUCUGAACGACCUGAGUACAAGUGUCUGAUUCAAUGACUAUCUAUCUAUCUAUCUAUCUAUCUAUCUAUCUAUCUAUCUAUCUAUCUAUCUAUCUAUCUAUGUUUAAAUAUUUGUUAAAUAUUAUUAGAUAUUAAAUAUUACUAAAUGUUAGUUUAAUAUUAGUUAUAUGAAUUCCUUCGAAUUUUAUUUAAUUGUACUUCCUUAUAUUCAGCUUCAAUUUACAGUUACAAUUCUGCUUUCUGUUUGCUUCCUCAAUUCAUUUUAAUUCAAUUCAUGAAAUAAAUUCAAACUGAGAAAGGGCAAUCACUGAACAAAUUCAGAAUUGUGUGCUUUAGUGUUACUGAGGACAGUUAUUAGGACAGUUGUACACUCACAAAUCUAAGCAUAAUGUUUUCUCUCAACAAACCUUUUGUACUCUGUGAGCUUGUUAUAAACGUAAUGCUUGUCCUAAAGUACUUUCUUUCUCUGAAUAUGAACAGUUUCAUCAUAUUCUUCAUAUGCUUUCAAUGCAGCAUCUCAAAAUGUGUCAAUCAAUCAUCAGAAAUAUGUGUAACUCUGUAAGGAAAUGUACACUAUUUAUUCAUAGAGUCGAGGGCCAGCUCGCUGCGGAAGUUAUCAGAGCGAUUGUCCUCCUGUCCAAGUCUCCAGCAGUGCCUUCAGGCAUCAGACCGUGUCGUCCCCGUGUCCUCACAAAUACCCUUCUACAGCACCAGAUGUUUCUACACACGUCGCUGAUAGAUAUACAGACCGGUAGAUUGCAACUUUGCACAAAUACAUUUUCACUAAUGACCAUCCAGCCAUUCAUUUCCACGACCCUGUUAUUCAGACUGCGUACAGUAGCAGCACAGUAUUUAUCCUGCUUCAUAAAGACCCAAAACACUUUUAUCCCAC
ensembl:lncRNA